GUGUUUGUUCAUUGUGGUUCUAGAUGAAGCCGGUGCAACUAAAACAGAAGCCGAGCCACCUGUCGGAGAUCCUGAACCAGAAAUCACGCCUGAAGAAGCUCCAGAUGAUGCAGAAGAAGAACCAGCACAAGAGGAAGCAGAAGGAGGUAAAAUUUCAUAAAGUGUGUGUGUGUGAAAGAGAGAGAGUGUGUGUUAGUGUGUGUGUGAGAGAGAGAG